rnacentral:rRNA from 1 species
GACGAACGCUGGCGGCGUGCUUAACACAUGCAAGUCGAACGGAAAGGCCCUGCCUUUGUGGGGUGCUCGAGUGGCGAACGGGUGAGUAACACGUGAGUAACCUGCCCUUGACUUUGGGAUAACUUCAGGAAACUGGGGCUAAUACCGGAUAGGAGCUCCUGCUGCAUGGUGGGGGUUGGAAAGUUUCGGCGGUUGGGGAUGGACUCGCGGCUUAUCAGCUUGUUGGUGGGGUAGUGGCUUACCAAGGCUUUGACGGGUAGCCGGCCUGAGAGGGUGACCGGCCACAUUGGGACUGAGAUACGGCCCAGACUCCUACGGGAGGCAGCAGUGGGGAAUAUUGCACAAUGGACGGAAGCCUGAUGCAGCAACGCCGCGUGCGGGAUGACGGCCUUCGGGUUGUAAACCGCUUUCGCCUGUGACGAAGCGUGAGUGACGGUAAUGGGUAAAGAAGCACCGGCUAACUACGUG